CGGGGCAGCAUGAGUACGAGCAAUUUUUUUUUUUUAACCGAUGCCCGUGAUGCCGUCCCGGGCAACCGCCCGUAUCUAAAACCGCUACUAAACGUAGCUAUCGAACUGUGCUAGCAUUUUGUGCGGCUAGCUAGCUUGCCUACUUGCUAGCUAGCACGCUGGCUGACACGGCGCAGAGAAGCGUAGUUACGGACCAGCAAGCUGACGGGUAGUUUCCUGGCUGUGCGGUGACAUUUAUUUUAUUUAGACGACGGGAACGAUCUGACGCACACCUUCUUCAACCCCGACAGGGAAGGCUGGCUCUUAAAGCUCGGUGGCCGAGUGAAGACGUGGAAGAGGAGGUGGUUUAUUCUGACUGACAACUGCCUCUAUUACUUUGAAUACACAACAGAUAAAGAGCCUCGUGGAUGAGCCGAGAAAACCUAACUGCUUUGAGCUCUACAACCCCAACCAUAAAGGUCAGGUAAUCAAGGCCUGCAAAACGGAGGCGGAUGGACGCGUCGUCGAGGGAAACCACGUAGUGUACAGGAUAUCUGCCCCCACCCCGGAGGAGAAAGAAGAGUGGAUCAAAUCCAUCAAAGCAAGCAUCAUCAGGGAUCCUUUCUACGACAUGCUGGCCACCAGGAAGAGGAGGAUAGCCAACAAGAAAUGAUGAUGACUCACCCUCACUUACGUCAAGUGUCAGCAGCAUUUCUGUCAUCAGAGGAAUCCUUGUGUGUAUGUGUGUGUGUGUUUAAGAGUCUCAAAGGCGUCCGAUUCAUACGUUCUCCGUCAGCCCUGCGGGACAUGCAGUAAAACAUAUGGGACUGACGUGGAUCAUCCCUACUUCUGCCUGAAGAUUUGUCUGCACCUCAGUUCUUGGCUGUUGGGAAUUAAAGAUUCAAAUUCAGUCUGCUACAGGCAAAAAAUAUAAUUAAAAAAAGAAGGUAAAUUCUCACCACACUAGACGACGAUGGAGAACAGCAUGAGGACUUCAUGUAACUGGAGAUAGCCAUAGCUGUAAUCAUUAGUCUUUUCGUCAUGCCGUAAUGUGAGACUACCCCCUGCUGGACACAUAAGGUGCUGCAACACAUUGGGAGGAUUUGAAAGCUGAAUGUCCAGCUCCCAGCCACUCAGACCAACUUGUCUGGUCUCAGCAUUUUAUUACCUUCACCUCCUUCGACAACUGCCAACAAUAUUUUGUAGAUAAUUCGCAACUACAGAAAGCCUCAAGCUCAUCAGUCAGCUGGUCUGAUUAAUGUAGCCUUUAAGUGACUGUACCUGUAUAUGCAAACAUACUCAACAUGGGCUCGUACACGUCCAUUUACGAUAUUUCCUUUUUAAAGGCAAACCAAGUCGUGUGUAACAAAGCCUGCCAGCAGUAACGCAUCAUAUUAACUCACAUAGUGAAGAUCCACCUCUGCGAUUGUUUCUUUUGUAUUUAUUUUCUCAUCUUUUCACAAAA